CUUGCAGAAAAAGACAUUCUACAAAAAGCUUGUUGCAACUUGGCCGAGAUUGAAGGGCCCUCCAGGGUCCCUUGGCCCCCCUGGGGAUGCUGGACCUCCUGGACCCCCGGGAAUUACUGGAAAACAAGGACGAAAAGGAGAUGGAGGAAAAAUCGUAGGU